UUUGUGAGGGUAAGUGGUGUGCACUGACAUGGCUCUCUUUUACAGAGUGCUGAAGCACCAGUCAGAGGGUUUGCAAGCUGGGGUGACUUUCACAAAGCCUCAGAGGGCAAAAGCUGCUGAUCCAGCAGCUGAGAUGAGCUGUAACUGCACCUGCAAAAGCUGGUAGAGAGAGGAGCACAGGGAAAAGACACCUUGGAGGGAACAGACGCAGUGGUUCUGUGGGGACAUCAAAUUUUUCCCCAGCAGAAGGGAGGGGAUCCUGAAUUUCCAGGCUUUUUUGUGCUAUCUCGAGUUGCUGCUAUUAACAUUCAGGAAAAAGAGAACACUGAACAAUGUCUUUCCAGCUUUCCCUAAGCUUUCCAAGAUGAAAGAAGCAGGAGACAGUCACAUAAAAGGGGUCAAGCACAGAAGCAUUCACUUACAGCAUCUCUCCAUGCACUUAGGAAAGCAGUUGCUUCUUUUAUCUGUUCAGAUCCUUUCAGAUAAUGACAGGGACGCACGUUUUUAAACAGCUUGUGUCAGCAGAGGAGCAAUGCCGGGAGAGUGAAAUCCUCCUGGAGCUGGUGCCCUGCUAGAAACAACCUCUCCCUGCCUGAGCACAGCCUGAGGCUGAAAAUACAACUCUGGGAUAUACUCUGAAGAGGGAUUUAACCCAUCAAUGGACCUCCCAGGGACCCACAGUUCAGACCCAGAGAUAAGUUGUCCUCAAUUAAUUUCUGAGCUUGUGUUGGGCUAGCUGAGCAGCAUCACGGGUCAGGUCCUCAAGGACUUCCAUAAAACAGAAGCCACUUUGUUAAAGUUGGUCAUUCGCUACUGUGAUAAAGUAAUUAAAACUGCGCAGUUUCUUUCUCCCCCUGCUGCUCCUUCUCUACGUACAAACAUCACGGCUCUGGCACAGAUGGAGCUGUUGCCACUUUCUCAGUGAAAAUCCAGAACUGUGCGAGUAAGAGAAAUGUUUUAUGGGGACUAUAAAUAGUUUUGCAUUAAGGCAAAUGUAUUCUCCUGCCUAAAAUAGGUUCACCUUGCAAACAGCUUAAGGACAGUUUCAGUGCCAGAGGAACGCCUUCAGACUCCCUCCAGGAAGCAGGAACAGCCUUUUUCCUCCAAAAAGCAAACAAGACCAGCAGCUGGAGACCCCUCUGCUGCCACCCCUCCUCUCCCUGCUCCCUACUGCCUGGCAGCAUCCUGCUGUGCUGGGGUGUCAGCCCGAAAGACCCCCCAGCAUCCUUCUACCAAAAAGGAACGUGAAUUCCUCCAACUAACUUUUCCAUUAUUUUUUUCCAGUGCUGAAACCGCAGAUGAAUAAGAUCUAACACAGCCCCAAAGCACUGGGUGAAGAAAAGCAUCACAACUUUUGGCGUUGCUGCUGCUGUUGGUGCUGCUGCUGCUGCUGCUGGCGGUGGGUAGGGGAAGCAGCGAGGGAGCCCCUGAGUCCUUGAGCCCCGGGAGGGAGUGCAGGCGGUGUGAGCUAUGCUCCGGCACAGCUUAGCAUGCCUUCAUAUUCAUCAUCAAAAUAAGACGGGAAGAGGCUUGCAGCGGCAGGGCGGCCAAUGGAAAGGACAGAAAUGUUAUCCUUGAGGUCCGGAGACAGCCAAUAACAAAUGCCUCCCCUCCAGAAACUCCCUGAUGAAUUGAGCCUGGUGGAGAAUGUAUUAUUGAACAUUACCAUACAUCAGCACGUUGCAUUUAUCUCGUGAUUACAGCCAGUCAUACGUAAGGCUGUGGAGAUAUGCAGACAAAAUUGAUUGCUUAACGUCUCCAUUUAUUAAUUGCCUUAAUUUAACAAAAGACCGUUUGGAUGCCAAAGCUAAAUGUAAAGCAUAGGGAAGAAGCCCACCAAUGAAAUUGUUAGAAAGUAGCAAAAAUAGAUUAAGUAGACUGUGUUUUGCUGAAAGAGAGAAAUAAAAUAUUCAAAGAGAGUUACAGUUCUUUGCAGGGGUUAAGCAGAAGUAGAGCUCAUUGUAUAAAUAAAUUCAUGUCUCUGUGUUUGCUGGCUUUGAUUUGGAUCAUCACCACUCUGAAGUUUUCUAGAUUUUAUAUUCUGCUACUUCAGAAGUGUCCCAGGACACACACCUUCCCUCACCACUAAAAAUAAGAGAGGUCAGGUCUCAGGUCUGGUGUAAGUUGAAAUAACACCAUUUAAAGUCAGCAAUGUUUUCCUGAUUCACACUUGCUGGUGGAUCAGGUCCAUUGCACACAAAACAUGGUAAUUACUGUAUGUUGGAACCAUGAGAGCAUAAAAAGGCAUGGGUCAUGUUUCUAAAUAUAAUGAAAUACAUGAUGCAUGAGAGCAUACACCGAGAGAAACUUGCACUGAGGGAAAAGUAGCUUCUAAAUCAACACAAUAAUUAAAUACGCAGAAGGGUUUUGCUUGUCAUUCAUCUGCAUAUUGGUGGGUAGGAAAUUACACAUUAGCCAUUAGACAGUCCUAGGCAUUAAAAAAGAAUAAGGGAAUUGCAAGGAAAAUAACACGCUUUUUGUGUAUUAUUACCAAUGUGUAUCUCUGUUGGUGGGCAGGGAGCCUUUUCAAGCCAUUGAGUCUCAUUAAACUUGAAUCGCCAUAACUGGCUUUUCCAGGAGGUGACUGCACCAAAGCAGC